GUUUAUUAAUACAAGCUUUCAAAGCUAGUUGCAUUUGUGGAAGUUGCUCAGUUUGAUUUAUUGGCAUAACACCAAAAGCCAGAUUCUCCUUCAGGUUUGGGAAUAUCUAGUGAAAUGUUGCCUAAAGAGUCACUAAGUGAUCAAGCAUGGAAUACCAAGCAAUGAAGCAAAAUAUAUUUUCUUUCAUCAUGUAAAUUCAGCUAGCUAGGAAACUUUAUAGCAAUGACAUGUUACUUGGAUUCAAUAUUUGGUGGAUAUAUUGGAAUUUUAUUGAUGUAUCACAUUG